rnacentral:rRNA from 2 species
GAUGAACGCCGGCGGUGUGCCUAAUACAUGCAAGUCGAACGCGUUGGCCCAAUUGAUUGAUGGUGCUUGCACCUGAUUGAUUUUGGUCGCCAACGAGUGGCGGACGGGUGAGUAACACGUAGGUAACCUGCCCAGAAGCGGGGGACAACAUUUGGAAACAGAUGCUAAUACCGCAUAACAGCGUUGUUCGCAUGAACAACGCUUAAAAGAUGGCUUCUCGCUAUCACUUCUGGAUGGACCUGCGGUGCAUUAGCUUGUUGGUGGGGUAACGGCCUACCAAGGCGAUGAUGCAUAGCCGAGUUGAGAGACUGAUCGGCCACAAUGGGACUGAGACACGGCCCAUACUCCUACGGGAGGCAGCAGUAGGGAAUCUUCCACAAUGGGCGCAAGCCUGAUGGAGCAACACCGCGUGAGUGAAGAAGGGUUUCGGCUCGUAAAGCUCUGUUGUUAAAGAAGAACACGUAUGAGAGUAACUGUUCAUACGUUGACGGUAUUUAACCAGAAAGUCACGGCUAACUACGUGCCAGCAGCCGCGGUAAUACGUAGGUGGCAAGCGUUAUCCGGAUUUAUUGGGCGUAAAGAGAGUGCAGGCGGUUUUCUAAGUCUGAUGUGAAAGCCUUCGGCUUAACCGGAGAAGUGCAUCGGAAACUGGAUAACUUGAGUGCAGAAGAGGGUAGUGGAACUCCAUGUGUAGCGGUGGAAUGCGUAGAUAUAUGGAAGAACACCAGUGGCGAAGGCGGCUACCUGGUCUGCAACUGACGCUGAGACUCGAAAGCAUGGGUAGCGAACAGGAUUAGAUACCCUGGUAGUCCAUGCCGUAAACGAUGAGUGCUAGGUGUUGGAGGGUUUCCGCCCUUCAGUGCCGGAGCUAACGCAUUAAGCACUCCGCCUGGGGAGUACGACCGCAAGGUUGAAACUCAAAGGAAUUGACGGGGGCCCGCACUAGCGGUGGAGCAUGUGGUUUAAUUCGAAGCUACGCGAAGAACCUUACCAGGUCUUGACAUCUUGCGCCAACCCUAGAGAUAGGGCGUUUCCUUCGGGAACGCAAUGACAGGUGGUGCAUGGUCGUCGUCAGCUCGUGUCGUGAGAUGUUGGGUUAAGUCCCGCAACGAGCGCAACCCUUGUUACUAGUUGCCAGCAUUAAGUUGGGCACUCUAGUGAGACUGCCGGUGACAAACCGGAGGAAGGUGGGGACGACGUCAGAUCAUCAUGCCCCUUAUGACCUGGGCUACACACGUGCUACAAUGGACGGUACAACGAGUCGCGAACUCGCGAGGGCAUGCAAAUCUCUUAAAACCGUUCUCAGUUCGGACUGCAGGCUGCAACUCGCCUGCACGAAGUCGGAAUCGCUAGUAAUCGCGGAUCAGCAUGCCGCGGUGAAUACGUUCCCGGGCCUUGUACACACCGCCCGUCACACCAUGAGAGUUUGUAACACCCAAAGUCGGUGGGGUAACCUUUUAGGAGCCAGCCGCCUAAGGUGGGACAGAUGAUUAGGGUG